ACUAGGGGACGGAGGCUGCUGGACGACCACAGUGCCAGGAGGGUCUUCAGCACCUGCCCCACACACAGCUGGUUUGUGGUGAGAGGAUAUCACUGUAGAGGUUAUAUACAGCACAGAGUACCAUUGUAUCUGCAUGCUGUAAGAGAUGACUAUGAUGAUCUGCCCCCCCACACACAGCUGGUUUAUGAGGCACUCCAGAACCCACCUUAUUGACAGCCAGGGAGGGGAGAGUGUACAGGAUGGUGAGGCGUGUGGUGGGGUCUGGCUCACGGCCUAGACGGUACAGCACCAUUGAGAACACCUCCAGGCCCAGACACUUCUGCUUCAUCACCUCCUUCUCCAGCACCUGACAGAGAUGAAGACUGUGGUGUGGAGCUCUGGUAGAGGAACACGGAUGUCACAAUGGUGUAGUAGAAGCUGGAGAUCUGGUUGACGGAGGAGGCCAGCUUGGUGAGCCAGUCCGAGGCGAGCUGUGGGUCCUUCACCAGGCG